rnacentral:rRNA from 1 species
AAGCUCGUAGUUGAAUUUCGGAUGUGGCUGGACGGUCCGCCUCACGGUGUGUACUGUCUGGCUGUGUUCUCUUUCUUGGUGAGCCGGCAUGCCCUUUACUGGGUGUGUUGGGGAACCAGGACGUUUACCUUGAGAAAAUUAGAGUGUUCAAAGCAGGCCUACGCCCGAAUACACUUAGCAUGGCAUAAUAAAAUAGGACGUGCGGUUCUAUUUUAGUUGGUUUCUAGAGCCGCAGUAAUGAUUAAUAGGGAUAGUUGGG